AACGAAGUGGGAAGGCUAAAACAGUCAGGAGGUUGGCUUAGAAGCAGCCACCCUUUAAAGAAAGCGUAAUAGCUCACUGAUCGAGUCGUCCUGCGCGGAAGAUGUAACGGGGCUAAGCUAUAUACCGAAGCUGCGGAUGCGUGCUUAGCACGCAUGGUAGGAGAGCGUUCCGUAAGCCUGCGAAGGUGCCUUGUAAAGGGUGCUGGAGGUAUCGGAAGUGCGAAUGCUGACAUGAGUAGCGAUAAAGGGGGUGAAAGGCCCCCUCGCCGUAAGCCCAAGGUUUCCUACGCAACGUUCAUCGGCGUAGGGUGAGUCGGCCCCUAAGGCGAGGCAGAAAUGCGUAGCUGAUGGGAAGCAGGUCAAUAUUCCUGCACCAUUGUUAGAUGCGAUGGGGGGACGGAUCGCGGAAGGUUGUCCGGGUGUUGGAAGUCCCGGUCGCUGCAUUGGAGAAG
rnacentral:rRNA from 1 species